rnacentral:rRNA from 1 species
UUGCACCUUUCCGAAAGGGGCGGUAAUACUGGAUGACAUCACGAGUCGAUAGGCUCGUGAUCAAAGAUUUAUCGGCGUGGGAGCGGCCUAAUUCCUAUCAGCUUGUUGGUGAGGUAAUGGCUCACCAAGGCGAUGACGGGUAGCGGGACUGAGAGGUUGGCCCGCAACAUCGGGACUGAGACACUGCCCGGACCUCCACGGAGGGCUGCAGUAACGAAUAUUGGGCAAUGAGCGAAAGCUUGACCCAGCGACGCCGCGUGUAGGAGGAAGUCUUUCGGGAUGUAAACUACUGUCAGGGGGACGAAAGUGUGCUUCGGCACAUUGAUCGAACCCAGAGGAAGUCACGGCUAACUUCGUGCCAGCAGCCGCGGUAAGACGAAGGUGGCAAGCGUUGUUCGGUAUCACUGGGCUUAAAGCGUGUGUAGGCGGAAGCUUAAGCGUUUUGUGAAAUCCCUCGGCUUAACCGAGGAAUUGCUUGACGAACUGGGCUUCUUGAGGCAGGUAGGGGUGCGCAGAACUCUUGGUGGAGCGGUGGAAUGCGUAGAUAUCAAGAGGAAUGCCGGUGGAGAAGUCGGUGCACUGGGCCUGACCUGACGCUGAGACACGAAAGCGUGGGGAGCGAACGGGAUUAGAUACCCCGGUAGUCCACGCCGUAAGCGAUGCCUAUCUAGGUUGUGGUGGUUCUGACGCCAGCACAGCCGAAGCCAAAGUGUUAAGUAGGCCGCCUGGGGAGUACGGUCGCAAGGCUAAAACUCAAAGGAAUUUUNNG